UCGACGACGAUGCGUUCUACAUC
rnacentral:miRNA from 1 species